GACGAACGCUGGCGGCGUGCUUAACACAUGCAAGUCGAGCGGGAUUUGAGAGCUUGCUCUCAAAUCUAGCGGCGGACGGGUGAGUAACACGUGGGUAAUCUGCCCUCAAGUGGGGAAUAACACAGAGAAAUCUGUGCUAAUACCGCAUAAUGUAUGCUAGUCGCAUGGCUGGCAUAAAAAAGAUUUAUUGCUUGAGGAUGAGCCCGCGGCCCAUUAGCUAGUUGGUGAGGUAAAAGCCCACCAAGGCCACGAUGGGUAGCCGACCUGAGAGGGUGAUCGGCCACAUUGGAACUGAGAUACGGUCCAGACUCCUACGGGAGGCAG
rnacentral:rRNA from 1 species